rnacentral:lncRNA from 1 species
UGAGCAGGCGACCGUGGGGGCUGCCAAAAUUGAAAGGUUUUUUUUUUAUUAUUUAUUUUUGGGGUUGGGGGGUGGGAGGGAAAGAUUUUAAUAUUCAUCCCCCCACCUGGUGCUGAGUGCGGGUCCUGCCUCCGCCGCUGGAAGAGAAACCUCGGCGAACAACAAAGGAGAGGAUGCGGGAGACCCGCAGCGAAAAGAGCUUUAUUGGCACGGCACGGCACGGCACGGCGCGACCCGACGGGCUCCUUGCGGCAUCCGCACCGGCUGGGCUACGAGCCCCGGGGGGGGAGUGGGGUGGGGGUGGGGGUAGGGGGCUGCCCCCAAAUACCUGCAGCACCCCGGGGGGGGUCGGGGUGCAAAGAGUCGUCCCAGGGACCCCGAACUCCUGUCAAUGUUCCCGCGGGCACCGUCCCGGAGGCGAGGGUCUGCGCGCAGGGCUGCAAAGAGAGAUGGACCCCCCCCCCCUCACCGCCAUCAUCAAAGGACCCCCCCCGCCCCCAGCCUGGGUGCAGCUGCCCCAUGGGGGAGGGUGGUGGUGGGGGGGACGGGACCGUCCCUUCCAGUAAGGCCUGUCCUUGCCCAGGGCGAGGUACCUGCUGGGAGCACUGGGGCAGCGGGUCGGGGAUGGAGGGAUGCGGGGCAGGUUGGCCUCCAGCUGCAAAGGGAUGGGAGAAGGGAUGGGAGAAGGAAGGGAUGGGAGAAGGAAGGGAUGGGAGAAGGAAGGGAUGGGAGAAGGGAUGGGAGAAGGAAGGGAUGGGAGAAGGAAGGGAUGGGAGAAGGAAGGGAUGGGAGGUGAAGGGCAGGGAAAGGGGUGGGGGUGGCGAUGGGCUCCCAGGCACCCCUCUGGCUGAAGAGGUGGCGGAAAAAAAUUGAAACAAAACCAAAAAAGCGUGAAAAAGGAAGGGAAGAAAUAAAAAAGAGCUGGGUGGCA